CCUACGGGUGGCAGCAGUGAGGAAUAUUGGUCAAUGGGAGAGAUCCUGAACCAGCCAAGCCGCGUGAGGGAAGACGGCCCUAUGGGUUGUAAACCUCUUUUGUCGGAGAACAAAACCCGGGACGUGUCCCGGACUGCGUGUAUCCGAAGAAAAAGCAUAGGCGAACUCCGUGCCAGCAGCCGCGGUAAUACGGGGGAUGCGAGCGUUAUCCGGAUUUAUUGGGUUUAAAGGGUGCGUCGGCGGUCCGUUAAGUCAGCGGUAAAAUUGCGGGGCUCAACCCCGUCGAGCCGUUGAAACUGGCAGACGUGAGUAGGCGAGAGGUACGCGGAAUGCGCGGUGUAGCGGUGAAAUGCAGAGAUAUCGGGCAGAACUCCGAUUGCGAAGGCAGCGUACCGGCGCCAGACUGACGCUGAGGCACGAAAGCGUGGGGAGCGAACAGGAGUAGAUACCCGGGUAGUC
rnacentral:rRNA from 1 species